rnacentral:lncRNA from 1 species
CAAAGCAAUAAGAGACUCCCCAUGCUUGCUUUCACAGCCUUGAGGGCAGGAUAGGCCACACAUAAGUGUGACAUGCAGCAGAAUGAAAUGCCUUUUAUCAUCAAGAGUCACAGCCUUAAGCUCAGAGGACUGGGAAUCUCUCCCACAAUCCGGAAGGCAGGACAUCCAGAAGGCAGCUUCAUGGAGGAGUGAGAUCAAGCUGGGCAGUGAAGGCAGAGAGGACUUUUCAGGCUGUUUCUCCUUGUCUCCGCCAAUUCUUCUUUCAGCUCCUGAAGAGUUUCCAAGGGAGAGGACUUGGCAGCUGUCUGCAUAUGAUGUCCUUGUGCAAACCUGCGAUUGAGAUCCCAGGGAAGGGGCUGUCAGCAGUUGAAGGGGUGACUAGCCCUGUGAAUGUACGCUUAAGUUUUGGUGCCUUCUGGAUGUCCCCAGGCAGGAAUCUCUGCCUUCUCACCUCCUUUACCCUAGAUAAGGCAGCCUUUC